rnacentral:rRNA from 1 species
UACGGGGGGAGCAAGCGUUACUCGGAAUCACUGGGCGUAAAGAGCAUGUAGGCUGGUAGAAAAGUUGGAAGUGAAAUCCUGUGGCUUAACCAUAGAACUGCUUCCAAAACUCUCUACCUAGAAUAUGGGAGAGGUAGAUGGAAUUUCUGGUGUAGGGGUAAAAUCCGUAGAGAUCAGAAGGAAUACCGAUUGCGAAGGCGAUCUACUGGAACAUUAUUGACGCUGAGAUGCGAAAGCGUGGGGAGCAAACAGG